GACGAACGCUGGCGGCGUGCCAAAUACAUGCAAGUCGAGCGCAGGAAACUGACGGAACUCUUCGGAGGGAAGGCAGUGGAAUGAGCGGCGGACGGGUGAGUAACACGUAAGGAACCUGCCUCAAGGAUUGGGAUAACUCCGAGAAAUCGGAGCUAAUACCGGAUAGUUCAACGGACCGCAUGGUCCGCUGAUGAAAGGCGCUUCGGCGUCACCUUGAGAUGGCCUUGCGGUGCAUUAGCUAGUUGGUGGGGUAACGGCCCACCAAGGCGACGAUGCAUACCCGACCUGAGAGGGUGAUCGGCCACACUGGGACUGAGACACGGCCCAGACUCCUACGGGAGGCAGCAGUAGGGAAUCUUCCACAAUGGACGAAAGUCUGAUGGAGCAACGCCGCGUGAGUGAUGAAGGUUUUCGGAUCGUAAAACUCUGUUGUAAGGGAAGAACACGUACGAGAGGAAAUGCUCGUACCUUGACGGUACCUUACGAGAAAGCCACGGCUAACUACGUGCCAGCCGCCGCCGUAA
rnacentral:rRNA from 1 species